UGGGGAAUUUUGCACAAUGGGGGAAACCCUGAUGCAGCGACGCCGCGUGAUUUAGAAGGCCUUCGGGUUGUAAAAAUCUUUUCUAUGGGAAGAAAAUGACAGUACCAUAGGAAUAAGUACCGGCUAAUUACGUGCCAGCAGCCGCGGUAAUACGUAAGGUCCGAGCGUUUUCCGGAAUCAUUGGGCGUAAAGGGUACGUAGGCGGGUAAGCAAGUUAGAAGUGAAAUCCUAUAGCUAAACUAUAGUAAGCUUUUAAAACUGCUCAGCUUGAGGUAUGGAAGGGAAAGUGGAAUUCCUAGUGUAGCGGUGAAAUGCGCAGAUAUGAGGAGGAAUACCGGUGGCGAAGGCGACUUUCUGGCCAUAACCUGACGCUGAGGUACGAAAGCGUGGGUAGCAAACAGG
rnacentral:rRNA from 1 species